rnacentral:tRNA from 2 species
CGGGGCGUAGCGCAGCCUGGUAGCGUACUUGGAUGGGGUCCAAGUGGUCGGAGGUUCGAAUCCUCUCGCCCCGACCA